AUAGCGUAUAUUAAAGUUGUUGCGGUUAAAAAGCUCGUAGUUGAAUUUGUGUGUCACGCUGUCGGUUCACCGCUCGCGGUGUUUAACUGGCAUGACGUGGUACGUCCUACCGGUGGGCUUAGCUUCCUUGUGGGGCGGCCCGACUAAUAUCCCAUCGCGGUGCUCUUCACCGAGUGUCGAGGUGGGCCGGUACGUUUACUUUGAACAAAUUAGAGUGCUCAAAGCAGGCUAUCCUCGCCUGAAUACUGCGUGCAUGGAAUAAUGGAAUAGGACCUCGGUUCUAUUUUGUUGGUUUUCGGAACCCCGAGGUAAUGAUUAAUAGGGACAGAUGGGGGCAUUCGUAUUGCGACGUUAGAGGUGAAAUUCUUGGAUCGUCGCAAGACGGACAGAAGCGAAAGCAUUUGCCAAAAAUGUUUUCAUUAAUCAAGAACGAAAGUUAGAGGUUCGAAGGCGAUCAGAUACCGCCCUAGUUCUAACCAUAAACGAUGCCAGCUAGCGAUCCGCCGAAGUUCCUCCGAUGACUCGGCGGGCAGCUUCCGGGAAACCAAAGCUUUUGGGUUCCGGGGGAAGUAUGGUUGCAAAGCUGAAACUUAAAGGAAUUGACGGAAGGGCACCACCAGGAGUGGAGCCUGCGGCUUAAUUUGACUCAACACGGGAAACCUCACCAGGCCCGGACACCGGAAGGAUUGACAGAUUGAUAGCUCUUUCUUGAUUCGGUGGGUGGUGGUGCAUGGCCGUUCUUAGUUGGUGGAGCGAUUUGUCUGGUUAAUUCCGAUAACGAACGAGACUCUAGCCUGCUAAAUAGGCGUACCUUCUGGUAUCUCGAAGGCCCCCGGCCUUCUGGUCGGUGGGUUUUUACUACCGACGUACAAACAAAUCUUCUUAGAGGGAC
rnacentral:rRNA from 1 species